UAUAAGCCCCUCUGUUAACUUUUGUUCAAGCCUGUCUAGAUCUUUUAUCAGUCUAGAAAGAUGUUGGAGAAAAGACAUCAUCCUCUUCUAUAAUCUCCAUCUGUAAUUGGACUAACAACUGGACCAGUGAAUGCAGGUCACACCAUGGUCUCAAGAGGGAAAAUGAGUGCUCUAUGGAUUGAACAGAAAAGAUUAAUCAAAACUCCAACCAUCUGUAUGAGGGUCUGGAUGGAUAAAGGAUGCCCACUGGAGCUGGAAAUGAU